GCUGCAUUAGCCUAAUUGGUAAGGCACCGGUCUUGAAAACCGGCGUUGCGGUAAAACGCAUUGAGGGUUCGAGUCCCUUGUGCAGCG
rnacentral:tRNA from 1 species